rnacentral:tRNA from 1 species
GUUUUGAUAGUUUAUAUGAAAACUUUGGUCUUGUAAACCAAAAAAGAAUAUUAAAAUUCUCAAAGCA